rnacentral:rRNA from 1 species
AUCAAUAAGCGGAGGAAAAGAAACCACCGGGAUUGCCUUAGUAACGGCGAGUGAAGCGGCAAAAGCUCAAAUUUGAAAUCUGGCGUCUUCGACGUCCGAGUUGUAAUUUGAAGAAGGCAACUUUGUAGCUGGUCCUUGUCUAUGUUCCUUGGAACAGGACGUCAUAGAGGGUGAGAAUCCCGUGUGGCGAGGAUCCCAGUUAUUUGUAAAGUGCUUUCGACGAGUCGAGUUGUUUGGGAAUGCAGCUCUAAGUGGGUGGUAAAUUCCAUCUAAAGCUAAAUAUUGGCGAGAGACCGAUAGCGAACAAGUACAGUGAUGGAAAGAUGAAAAGAACUUUGAAAAGAGAGUGAAAAAGUACGUGAAAUUGUUGAAAGGGAAGGGCAUUUGAUCAGACAUGGCGUUUGCUUCGGCUUUCGCUGGGCCAGCAUCAGUUUUAGCGGUUGGAUAAAUCCUCGGGAAUGUGGCUCUGCUUCGGUAGAGUGUUAUAGCCCGUGGGAAUACAGCCAGCUGGGACUGAGGAUUGCGACUUUUGUCAAGGAUGCUGGCGUAAUGGUUAAAUGCCGCCCGUCUUGAAACACGGACCAAGGAGUCUAACGUCUAUGCGAGUGUUUGGGUGUAAAACCCGUACGCGUAAUGAAAGUGAACGUAGGUGAGGGCCCGCAAGGGUGCAUCAUCGACCGAUCCUGAUGUCUUCGGAUGGAUUUGAGUAAGAGCAUAGCUGUUGGGACCCGAAAGAUGGUGAACUAUGCCUGAAUAGGGUGAAGCCAGAGGAAACUCUGGUGGAGGCUCGUAGCGGUUCUGACGUGCAAAUCGAUCGUCGAAUUUGGGUAUAGGGGCGAAAGAC